rnacentral:lncRNA from 1 species
GCCUGAGGGAGUUGAAACCUUAGUUUUUUAUAAUUUUAAAAUCUAUAAAACGAACAAUUUCAGAAAGGUUUAUAAAUCGUGUCAGUACCAAAGUACUGACUACUGAGAUGAUGAUACCUUCGGAGACUGAUUGUCUUCCAGCAGCGGUAUCGACCCAGUGCUGUAAAAAAAUUGAAAACAACACUUCAUACAUUUGAUACGUCCG